rnacentral:lncRNA from 1 species
UCCACACCCUCCAUAAAUGUAAGCAUCCAAUGAACUUCUUGAAUCGUGCCUCUCAGAGGAUGGCCACAGUGGUGCUUGGCAUUAAAACUCUUCAUCCUGCCAGGGCAUAUUGCCCGAGACACUUUCUAAUGUGGCCUCAUCCAAAGAAAAUCCAACCCACACCAGCCUUGGAGAUCAGAAGGUCCAACUGAAGCUUCGGUCGCCAAUGCCAUAGUAAACUAAGA